GCAUUGGUUGUUCAGUGGUAGAAUUCUCGCCUGCCACGCGGUAGGCCUGGGUUCGAUUCCCGGCCAGUGCA
rnacentral:tRNA from 1 species